rnacentral:misc_RNA from 1 species
CCUCACUUUCGAUCAAGUUUUGCUCCAUGGUGUGGAUGCAAAAAGCGGGUUCCUGUGUUGCAUACCCUAUUGCGAUGGAAAUUUGUGCCAAUCGUUUGUCCCUUUCAACACGACAUCCUCUUUGGGUGCUCGGUUGAACUAGAUGGUGGGGCUUGCGUUCCCUAAACACAUCACAUUUGAUUGUUUGGAUGGACCGUGAGUGCUUACUUGUUCUCUCGGAUGCGGAAAAUUCUUAAUGGGUSUUUGAGGUCAUCGGCCCUUGUUCCCAAAGCUCAAGCGUUUAUCGCUUUACUGGAAUGACGCUCUCGCCUUGUCUUUGGUCGCGUGGAGCUCUCGGGCUUCACGGUGGAUCAUGCUUGGCGGACGUCGUGAAGGAAUGCUACCUGGUUG